rnacentral:rRNA from 1 species
AUGGAGUACUGGCUCGAGCCGGCCGAGCUCGCGGCCCUGCGCCGGGAGGUCGGCGUCGACCCGUACUGGGUGCCGCCGCCAGGGUGGAAGCGCGGGGACCCCGUCUCCGCCGACGGCUACGCGCUCAAGGCAAAGAAGCAGGUGGAGGAGCUCACCAAGGAGCUCGCCGGAGUAAAAAGGCACAUGCAGCAGCUGGUGAAGGCACAUCAAGGCACAAUGAACAAUGAAGUGAAGCCUGAGGCACCCAAAGCCUGCAUUUCUCAUGACCCUUAUCAGGACAAGUAUGAGUGUGUGCUGAAGGCCAAUGGCAAUCUGGAAAAGCAAGUUCUGUCCUUGGAGGAGAAGUACGCCGGCGCGACACGGUCGAAUGGCAAGCUGGAGCAGGAGGUUCUGUUCCUCAAGGAGAAGUAUGAGGCUGUGCUUGAGAAGAACAGCAGGCUGGAGCAGCAGGUGGCUGCUCUGUCCACUUCUUUCCUGUCUCUCAAGGAGGGCAUGCAGUUUCUGAAUGAUGGGGAGCAGCAGCAGCAGCAGCAGCAGCUGCGGAUCAUGGGAGCGGAGCCGCGUCUUCUUCUGUGCGCCAGGGAGUGCCGCCAAGCUGACAGGCAGGAACCGAGCAAUGGCGCAGGCGACCAGCUCGCCGACGGCGGGAGGCGCAGGGAGUGGCCGCACGAGGCGCAACCGUCGUCCCCGCGGACCCCGACGGCGGCGAGGGUCGCGUCCGUGGACGACGACGGGUGCGCGAUGGAUGGUGGUUUGGAGCUCCCGCCCACGCCGCCGUCGGCAUCCUCCACCAACGCCGCCUCCUCCGCCAAGCUCCUGCUCCUCCCCGCCCCGGACUCGCCGGUCCAGCCACCCCCGCAGCCGCCGGCCACCAGCAGCAGCAGCGCCAGGGUUGACGUCGGCCUCCAGGAGCCAGCGGAGUCCCGCUCCGGCGGCCUCGACCUGCAGCUCCGGCACACGGCGCAGGACGCGACGGCGUCGCUGCCGUUCCCGUGCGGAGCCGCCGCCGGCCUGCCGGAAGGCGGGAAGACGGCGACGGCCGGCGGCCGCGGCAGAGUGGGCACCGAGCUGGCCCUCGCCACCCCCUCCUACUGA